AGAGAUAUCAUCAUGGAAAUGAAAGCUCAUCCAGGGAAGUUUACCCAGCUAGCUCACCCAAUGCCACAUCCAGCAGGGGGCAAAGCCACCUUUCCUUCGUGAAUGACUUCAGGGCCAGCUCUCCAAAGAUGCCCAGGAUGUGUGAUGCUCUUGCGCGCACCGGACUCGACCAGCAAGAACGACGCUGCAACAGGAUCCUUCUGCACACGUUUAUUGGGAGAGCUUGAUUGCAGAGGCGAAAAGACUUCGAGCCCAGAACUGGUGCUGCUUUUAUAGGCCUAGGAGAGGCGUGUCUCAUACCCGGAUUGGUUAUGCACUAAGCCUCAUUUGCAUGUUCCUCAUCUGAUUGGCUACUCUCUCUCAGUACCUCACAGAGCCUCAUUAUCAUACCUCAU
rnacentral:lncRNA from 1 species